rnacentral:rRNA from 1 species
UACGGGAGAGGCGAGCGUUAUCCGGAAUUAUUGGGCGUAAAGCGUCCGCAGGUGGCCAAUUAAGUCUGUCGUUAAAUCGUGGAGCUCAACUCCAUACAAGCGAUGGAAACUGAUUGGCUAGAGUACGGUAGGGGUAGCGGGAAUUCCAGGUGUAGCGGUGAAAUGCGUAGAUAUCUGGAAGAACACCAGCGACGAAAGUGCGCUACUGGGCCUGUACUGACACUCAUGGACGAAAGCCAGGGGAG